rnacentral:rRNA from 1 species
AGACGGGGAGCACCACGAACGGGUGGAGCUUGUCGGUUUAAUUGGAUUCAACGCCGGAAAUCUUACCGGGACCGACAGCAAUAUGAAGGCCAGGCUGAAGACUUUGCCGGAUUAGCUGAGAGGUGGUGCAUGGCCGUCGUCAGUUCGUACUGUGAAGCAUCCUGUUAAGUCAGGCAACGAGCGAGACCCACGCCAACAGUUGCCAGCAUGUCCUCCGGGAUGAUGGGGACACUGUUGGGACCGCCUCUGCUAAAGAGGAGGAAGGAAUGGGCAACGGUAGGUCAGCAUGCCCCGAAUUAUCCGGGCUACACGCGGGCUACAAUGGUCAGGACAAUGGGUAUCAACACCGAAAGGUGAAGGCAAUCUCCUAAACCUGUCCUUAGUUCGGAUUGUGGGCUGCAACUCGCCCACAUGAAGCUGGAAUCUGUAGUAAUCGCGUCUCAACAUGGCGCGGUGAAUAUGUCCCUGCUCCUU